CAUUACCGAGUGCUGGAACCCNUCNCNGGNCCNACCUCCCAUCCGUGUCUAUUGUACCCUGUUGCUUCGGCGGGCCCGCCCUCGCUUCUUAACUGGAGCAGGGCCGCCGGGGGGCUUCCCUGCCCCCGGGCCCGCGCCCGCCGGAGACCUCAACCAUUGAACACUGUCUGAAGAUUGCAGUCUGAGUAUGAUUUAAAAAAUCGUUAAAACUUUCAACAACGGAUCUCUUGGUUCCGGCAUCGAUGAAGAACGCAGCGAAAUGCGAUACGUAAUGUGAAUUGCAGAAUUCAGUGAAUCAUCGAGUCUUUGAACGCACAUUGCGCCCCCUGGUAUUCCGGGGGGCAUGCCUGUCCGAGCGUCAUUGCUGCCCUCAAGCACGGCUUGUGUGUUGGGCCCUCGUCCCCCGCUAAACCCGGGGGACGGGCCCGAAAGGCAGCGGCGGCACCGUGUCCGGUCCUCGAGCGUAUGGGGCUUUGUCACCCGCUCUUGUAGGUCCGGCCGGCGGCCUGCCCGACACAACCAAUAUUNNNAACCAGGUUGACCUCGGAUCAGGUAGGGAUACCCGCUGAACUUAAG
rnacentral:rRNA from 1 species